AAAUUGAAGAGUUUGAUCAUGGCUCAGAUUGAACGCUGGCGGCAGGCCUAACACAUGCAAGUCGAACGGUAACAGGAAGCAGCUUGCUGCUUUGCUGACGAGUGGCGGACGGGUGAGUAAUGUCUGGGAAACUGCCUGAUGGAGGGGGAUAACUACUGGAAACGGUAGCUAAUACCGCAUAACGUCGCAAGACCAA
rnacentral:rRNA from 2 species